UACGUAGGGGGCUAGCGUUGUCCGGAAUCAUUGGGCGUAAAGAGCGUGUAGGCGGUCCGGUAAGUCCGCUGUGAAAGUCGGGGGCUCAACCCUCGAAUGCCGGUGGAUACUGUCGGGCUAGAGUGCGGAAGAGGCGAGUGGAAUUCCUGGUGUAGCGGUGAAAUGCGCAGAUAUCAGGAGGAACACCUAUUGCGAAGGCAGCUCGCUGGCCCGGUACUGACGCUGAGGUGCGAAAGCGUGGGGAGCAAACAGG
rnacentral:rRNA from 1 species